GACGGAGGAUCCGAGCGUUAUCCGGAGUGACUGGGCGUAAAGAGUUGCGUAGGUGGUUAAUUAAGCAGAUAGUGAAACCUUGUGGCUCAACCAUAAGACUAUUAUCUGAACUGAUUAACUUGAGAAUGAGAGAGGUAAUUGGAAUUCCCAGUGUAGCGGUGAAAUGCGUAGAUAUCAAGAGGAACACCUGAGGUGAAGACGGGUUGCUGGGCCGACACUGACGCUGAUGCGCGAAAGCCAGGGGAGCAAACGGG
rnacentral:rRNA from 1 species